GCCCUGAUAGCUCAGCUGGAUAGAGCGGUCCCCUCCUAAGGGACAGGUCGGUGGUUCGAAUCCACUUUGGGGCACCA
rnacentral:tRNA from 1 species